UCCUACGGGGGGCAGCAGUGGGGAAUCUUGCGCAAUGGCCUAACGGCUGACGCAGCGACGCCGCGUGAGGGAUGACGCUCUUCGGAGUGUAAACCUCUUUUGCCCGGGACGAAUUGCCAACUUCAGUUGGCUUGACGGUACCGGGUGAAUAAGCACCGGCUAACUCCGUGCCAGCAGCCGCGGUAAUACGGGGGGUGCGAGCGUUGUCCGGAAUCACUGGGCGUAAAGGGCGCGUAGGUGGUCUUAUAAGGGUGUGGUGAAAGCCCGGGGCUCAACCCCGGGUCGGCCGUGCCGACUGUAAGACUAGAGUGCUGUAGGGGCAGGCGGAAUUCCGGGUGUAGCGGUGGAAUGCGUAGAGAUCCGGAGGAAGACCGGUGGCGAAGGCGGCCUGCUGGGCAGUUACUGACACUGAGGCGCGACAGCGUGGGGAGCAAACAGGAUUAGAUACCCCGGUAGUCCU
rnacentral:rRNA from 1 species